rnacentral:rRNA from 1 species
GUGGGGAAUAUUCCGCAAUGGACGAAAGUCUGACGGAGCAACGCCGCGUGAGUGAUGAAGGUUUUCGGACUGUAAAGCUCUGUUGUUUAGGACGAAAGUGCCUGUUGCGAACAGUUACAGGUAUUGACGGUACUAAACGAGGAAGCCACGGCUAACUACGUGCCAGCAGCCGCGGUAAUACGUAGGUGGCAAGCGUUGUCCGGAAUUAUUGGGCGUAAAGAGCAUGUAGGCGGAGAUUUAAGUCUGUUGUGAAAAUGUGGGGCUCAACCCCGUAUUGCGAUGGAAACUGAAUUUCUUGAGUGCAGGAGAGGAAAGGGGAAUUCCCAGUGUAGCGGUGAAAUGCGUAGAUAUUGGGAGGAACACCAGUGGCGAAGGCGCCUUUCUGGACUGUGUCUGACGCUGAGAUGCGAAAGCCAGGGUAGCGAACGGGAUUAGAUACCCGGGUAGUCC